AGCGAACGCUGGCGGCAGGCUUAACACAUGCAAGUCGAACGGGCACUUCGGUGCUAGUGGCAGACGGGUGAGUAACACGUGGGAACGUACCUUUCGGUUCGGAAUAAUCCAGGGAAACUUGGACUAAUACCGGAUACGCCCUUCGGGGGAAGGAUUCAUCGCCGAUAGAUCGGCCCGCGUCUGAUUAGCUAGUUGUGGAGGUAAUGGCUCACCAAGGCGACGAUCAGUAGCUGGUCUGAGAGGAUGAUCAGCCACAUUGGGACUGAGACACGGCCCAAACUCUUACGGGAGGCAGCAGUGGGGAAUAUUGGACAAUGGGCGCAAGCCUGAUCCAGCCAUGCCGCGUGAGUGAUGAAGGCCUUAGGGUUGUAAAGCUCUUUUGUCCGGGAAGAUAAUGACUGUACCGGAAGAAUAAGCCCCGGCUAACUUCGUG
rnacentral:rRNA from 1 species